GAUCAUGACUCAGGAUGAACGCUGGCGGCGUGCUUAACACAUGCAAGUCGAGCGAAGCACUUAGGAAAGAUUCUUCGGAUGAUUUCCUAUUUGACUGAGCGGCGGACGGGUGAGUAACGCGUGGGUAACCUGCCUCAUACAGGGGGAUAACAGUUAGAAAUGACUGCUAAUACCGCAUAAGACCACAGCACCGCAUGGUGCAGGGGUAAAAACGUACCGUGGUAUGAGAUGGACCCGCCG
rnacentral:rRNA from 1 species